rnacentral:rRNA from 1 species
UUUAACGGCCGCGGUAUUUUGACCGUGCAAAGGUAGCGCAAUCACUUGUUUCAUAAAUUGAAACCCGUAUGAAUGGCAAGACGAGGGCUUAACUGUCUCCCCUUUCAGGUCAGUGAAAUUGAUCUGCCCGUGAAGAAGCGGACAUACUUAUACAAGACGAGAAGACCCUUUGGAGCUUAAGACUUAAACCAACUGUGUAACAGACUAAUUACCUUUAGUCAAACUAAACCUUGCACUGACCUACGUCUUCGGUUGGGGCGACCACGGAGAAAAACAAAGCCUCCGCGCAGAAUAGGAAAAACAUUCCUUAAACCAAGAGAGACAUCUCUAAGCCACAGAACAUCUGACUAAAACAGACCCGGGUAUAACACCCGAUUAACGAACCAAGUUACCCUAGGGAUAACAGCGCAAUCCCCUUCCAGAGCCCUUAUCGACAAGGGGGUUUACGACCUCGAUGUUGGAUCAGGACAUCCUAAUGGUGCAGCCGCUAUUAAGGGUUCGUUUGUUCAACGAUUAAAGUCCUAC